GUAGUGAACAGGAAGGUGGCGAGCUGCUGGGGGAGAGGGGUUGGGCUUUGGUACGCGUUCACGCCAUCCUGCUGGUGGUGGUGGGGGGGGAACGCACCGCGGUGCUGGAUGCCUGCUUGGAGGGGGGUGCAUAACACCGGAGCACACCGCGGGGCUAGCUACGUGCUGGGAGGGGGGGGGUAAACAACAGAGCGCAAUGGGCUGGGGAAACGCGAACCUGGCUCCCUGCACUCAAGUAUC